GGGUUGUGAGGUUAAGCGACUAAGCGUACACGGUGGAUGCCCUGGCAGUCAGAGGCGAUGAAGGACGUGCUAAUCUGCGAUAAGCGCCGGUAAGGUGAUAUGAACCGUUAUAACCGGCGAUUUCCGAAUGGGGAAACCCAGUGUGAUUCGUCACACUAUCAUUAACUGAAUCCAUAGGUUAAUGAGGCGAACCGG
rnacentral:rRNA from 2 species